rnacentral:rRNA from 1 species
ACGCACGCUGGCGGCGUGCUUAACACAUGCAAGUCGAACGGUGAAGCGCCUUCCUUUUUGGUGGGUGUGGAUGAGUGGCGAACGGGUGAGUAACACGUGAGUAACCUGCCCCCUUCUUCUGGAUAACCGCAUGAAAGUGUGGCUAAUACGGGAUAUUCUGGGUCUGUCGCAUGAUGGGUCUGGGAAAGAUAUUGUUUCGGUGGGGGAUGGGCUCGCGGCCUAUCAGCUUGUUGGUGGGGUGAUGGCCUACCAAGGCGGUGACGGGUAGCCGGCCUGAGAGGGUGGACGGUCACACUGGGACUGAGACACGGCCCAGACUACUACGGGAGGCAGCAGUGGGGAAUAUUGCACAAUGGGCGCGAGCCUGAUGCAGCGACGCCGCGUGAGGGAUGGAGGCCUUCGGGUUGUGAACCUCUUUCGCCAGUGAAGCAGGCCUGCCUCGUUUGUGGGUGGGUUGACGGUAGCUGGAUAAGAAGCGCCGGCUAACUACGUG